rnacentral:rRNA from 1 species
UACGGAGGGUGCGAGCGUUGUCCGGAAUCACUGGGCGUAAAGGGCGCGUAGGCGGCCUGAUAAGUAGGGGGUGAAAUCUUGCGGCUUAACCGCAAGGCUGCCUUCUAAACUGUCAGGCUAGAGCACAGUAGAGGCAGGUGGAAUUCCCGGUGUAGCGGUGGAAUGCGUAGAGAUCGGGAAGAACAUCAGUGGCGAAGGCGGCCUGCUGGGCUGUUGCUGACGCUGAGGCGCGACAGCGUGGGGAGCGAACAGG